rnacentral:rRNA from 1 species
AGGGAAACCGAGUCUUAACUGGGCGUUAAGUUGCAGGGUAUAGACCCGAAACCCGGUGAUCUAGCCAUGGGCAGGUUGAAGGUUGGGUAACACUAACUGGAGGACCGAACCGACUAAUGUUGAAAAAUUAGCGGAUGACUUGUGGCUGGGGGUGAAAGGCCAAUCAAACCGGGAGAUAGCUGGUUCUCCCCGAAAGCUAUUUAGGUAGCGCCUCGUGAACUCAUCUUCGGGGGUAGAGCACUGUUUCGGCUAGGGGGUCAUCCCGACUUACCAACCCGAUGCAAACUGCGAAUACCGAAGAAUGUUAUCACGGGAGACACACGGCGGGUGCUAACGUCCGUCGUGAAGAGGGAAACAACCCAGACCGCCAGCUAAGGUCCCAAAGUCAUGGUUAAGUGGGAAACGAUGUGGGAAGGCUCAGACAGCCAGGAUGUUGGCUUAGAAGCAGCCAUCAUUUAAAGAAAGCGUAAUAGCUCACUGGUCGAGUCGGCCUGCGCGGAAGAUGUAACGGGGCUAAACUGUGCACCGAAGCUGCGGCAGCGACGCUUAUGCGUUGUUGGGUAGGGGAGCGUUCUGUAAGCCUGCGAAGGUGUCCUGUGAGGGAUGCUGGAGGUAUCAGAAGUGCGAAUGCUGACAUAAGUAACGAUAA